rnacentral:snoRNA from 1 species
UUGCAUUCUUAAACCCUCUUGGUGGCUUCAUUCUUCAUGCUUCCAAGAUAUGAGUGAAUGCGAGAGAAAUUGCAGGGAGUCCAAAGGGCUGUGCUUCCUGUGGCUCAGUCUUAUUUCAUACCUGCAACAUCU